AGAAGACGCCGUCGGGAACUCGCCGGAUCUAUCGCUGUUGCAGUCACUGAAAGCUGAGGAAGAUUCAGUAAUAUCGAGACCGCUGAAUGUUCGUCCCAGGUAGGUGAAAUUUGGUUGAUGAACCUCCGUUUCCAUUGCUGGAGUUGGUCUCUUCACUUCAUCAAUCAGAGACGAGUUGCUGGAUUAAUUCAUCUGAGUUCUCCGACGCGCAUGCUAUUAAUAGUCGCCGGCUUUGAGAAGACGCCGUCGGGAACUCGCCGGAUCUAUCGCUGUUGCAGUCACUGAAAGCUGAGGAAGAUUCAGUAAUAUCGAGACCGCUGAAUGUUCGUCCCAGGUAGGUGAAAUUUGGUUGAUGAACCUCCGUUUCCAUUGCUGGAGUUGGUCUCUUCACUUCAUCAACUAUUCGGCGCCGGAAAUAAUAAUUCAGUAUUUCCGGUGAGUUCACCGGAAUACAAGUUUUGAGCUAAUAACACAAACGACAGCGUUUAGCUGGAGUUGUUUUGGGCCGAGACGAUUUGGGCUUUGAGCAAACAUGAAUGAAAGGAAAAUGGAACAUAUAAGGGAAUUGGCCGAGGGAGAAAGAGAGAGAACACCUGGAUUAAGGCCUUGGAGAAAGGGAAGGACACGUGCGUGAUCCGUACAGAAUCCAAGUAGGGACAGCACGUGCGAAGGGUCCCAUUUAACGCGUGCGAGGAAGGCUCGUUAUUUCUGUAAUGUCAAGUCUUCCAUUAUGUGAUGACCAACUCGCC
rnacentral:lncRNA from 1 species